GCAGCAACAGCAGCUCCGACUUGGCCUGAAGAGCUUGUGGCCCGCAGGACAGCCAGAAGUGGGGUCAAGGAAAGCCUGGUGGGAAGCACUGGUCCUGAUCUCUGAGUGACCUGCCUUAGUUGACCUCAGAGGCAACCAGAUGCCCCAGGAGAAUUCCCAACGCUGCAAAGCUACAAUCACGUGCAACUCUUCCAAAGCCGUGCUGUGUUACUAGGGAGGGAGCUUCAUCAAAGAGCCACAGGAAUCGGGGGAUGUGUGACAUGGACAAAAGGAGGUAGUUGUGAGAGCAAGGAUUUUCAUCAGGACAACUUCAUCACUGGCAGGAUCCGUGCCCACAAAACGAGCAUGGGUGACAGCAUCUGCCAUGUUCUCCAUGCCCUCUGCUGUGCCCUCAUGGGUGGGAUCUGCUCCAGCGAAAAAGGAAAGAUUAAGUGAUGUGGAGAGGAGAGAGAUAAAAGGAAACUCCAAUGACCAGCUGGCCUGAGGUCUCCAAUGACCAGCCUGUCUGCCAAGUCCAGGAAGGGGAAAGAGUAACACCAACAAUACAGCAGAGGGAAAAGGCACAGCAGCGGCAGCCACUGGAGGCUGUGAAGAAAGAUGACCUGCAGGUGGUGCUCAGGGCAAGGCUGGAAGUGGCUGGGCCUGAUUUUGUUUAGGAAAAGUAUGAAGCUGGGACUAGGGUGUCGGAGAGGCUGAUGCACCUGUUCAGAAGCUAGUUGGUACCCAGGAUUCCUGCUCAGGAUCCUGAAUGCAUCAGCUAAGCAAAUCCAACAUUUCUAGAAU